rnacentral:lncRNA from 1 species
UCAGAUGCAGAAACUGAGGCUCCAAGAGCAGAAAUGACAUCGAAGUCACCUAGCCCAGUAUUGUCUGUCAUCAAGGCUGCUGCUGGCCUAUCUAGGAGCUUUUGUGUCCACUAGAAAAAGAUGUUCCUCUGGCCUGCCACAGCCUGUGGAAAUGCCUGCCCUAGGGGGCAGAGUGCCAGCCGAGUGUCAGCCCACAGAUGAAGGAGCCUUCAACUUAAGCCAGAACUUUGUGCAGAAUGCAAAAUAUGCACCCCUCUGCUGGCCCUGUCUGUAGAAGUAAAGAAGUUAAGAAACAGAUCGAUAAAUGAUGGUCUAUUCAUGUGAUGAAA